GAGACUGAACUUUGAAAAAAGUGGAGCUCACAAAUCACCGGAGAAAGCUGGAGAACAAUGAUGCUGUAUGAUGCCUCCCAGAUAAUCUUGCCAGCUUACUGCAUCCACUAUGACUACCAAAGGGCCAAAAGUAAGAAGUGCUUUUGCCAUUUCAUCUUCCUGCUCACUACCAAAAAAAGGUACAACAGAGCAGCACAUGUUCCUUCCAGGGGUUCUGCCUUUGUGUUAACA